GGUCGACCUUGCAGAUGAGUUGUCUUCAUACAAAUCUGCUUUUGUUUAUAAUAUGUAUAGGUCUUUUGAUUCAAACUUUGCUCUUAGCUUAUUCAUACACACAUCGGCCCAAUGGAAGGAUUAAAAAUAUACAAAUAUUAGUUAAAAGUGGAAGUGGGAGAAAUGACGUGGGAGAAAUGACGUGUACAAGAUUUGCACUAGAGAGACAGACAUACACAAUCCCCUCCCCCCCCCAGGAGCCAUACAGUAUGCACUGUGGAAGCAGACCCUGUGGUAUUCGAAAUGGCAUACUUUGCUAUACUUUCUCCCUUGUGGAUACUAGAAGAAUAACACCAGAACUAUGGUUACCAAGAAGACAUCUAGAUGGUGACCAGGCAGUGAGACUGGUGCUACAAACAAACGUCUUGAAAUAUCUAUUUCUUUAAAUUA